UGCAGCCAGAAGUGCUCAUUAGCUGCGGCUCUCUGCCAGCCUCCUCCUGGGAGGGACAUUGUCCUGCUUCCCGGCUCCUCACCAUCUGCGGACCCACCCCAGGGCCCAAGUGAGAAAGAGGACCUGCUGGGUGAGCACUUUCCUGGAUGCAGGAGAAGGCUGGGAGCCGCGCCCUGACAGAACCGGGAGCAGCAGGACAUGUCCGCGGGCGGGAAGCCACAGCAGAGCCAGGAGGACUGUCACUCUAGGAGAAGACUCGGUGCUUCAUCCUGGCCUACGUGGAGGAGCUCCCCUGUGCCAGAAAAGGUAAAACCAUCACGUGGAUCAUCCCACCCACACUCAGAGGAGAUGACAUCAUGUAAGGGUGAGAGUCCUGGAGUCACUGAGGUGGGACUUCCAGAGUGCGCUGUCCUUCCUCAGAGCCUCAUAAUGACGUGGUAACAAAUUCACUGGGCUGCCCUGGUGUUGCUGUGAUGUCCUCCCCCCUCCUGCUCCCGGAGACUCAGGCCACUGGCCCUGCUCACCUGCCCCUUGGCUUCUUUCAAUUUGUUCCCAAAGUCUCUGAGUUACUUUGGUGCCAGAAUGUCUUUUGGAAAAACACAUCAAGGACAGAACGUGAAAGGAAUGGUACAGAAAUAAAUAAAUGAAGUUCUAUAGAAGAGGGAGGGAGCAGUUGCCAGGCACUCCUCGCCCCUCCAGCAUCGCACCAAUGGUGGCGCUGCCUUUGCUGCCCACCAGUGACAUCCAUCAGAGACUCAGCAGUGCUUCGGACAUGCAUAUCCUGACGGCCUGGCGGUCUUACAAGUGUCAUGAAAGUGCACACGAAGGUUUGAACCUCCUGAUUCGCAUGAUUUUGUGGGAAUUUAUUGGUCCAUUGGAUGGUGAACCAUUUUCAGAGAUCAUGUCUGGUAGCUUCUGGGAAGAGGACCAGUAACUUAUUCUCAAGUGACAGUUUGGUUGGGCUUAGGACUUUUUGUUUUUUAAAGCUGUUUCACAUAAAAAAAAUAAAAUAAAAUAAAAACUUUUUUUGUAAAAAA